AUGAACGCUGGCGGCGUGCCUAAUACAUGCCAGUCGCGCGAACAGACGAGGAGCUUGCUCCUCUGACGUUAGCGGCGGACGGGUGAGUAACACGUGGAUAACCUACCUAUAAGACUGGGAUAACUUUGGGAAACCGGAGCUAAUACCGGAUAAUAUAUUGAACCGCAUGGUUCAAUAGUGAAAGACGGUUUUGCUGUCACUUAUAGAUGGAUCCGCGCCGCAUUAGCUAGUUGGUAAGGUAACGGCUUACCAAGGCGACGAUGCGUAGCCGACCUGAGAGGGUGAUCGGCCACACUGGAACUGAGACACGGUCCAGACUCCUACGGGAGGCAGCAGUAGGGAAUCUUCCGCAAUGGGCGAAAGCCUGACGGAGCAACGCCGCGUGAGUGAUGAAGGUCUUCGGAUCGUAAAACUCUGUUAUUAGGGAAGAACAAAUGUGUAAGUAACUAUGCACGUCUUGACGGUACCUAAUCAGAAAGCCACGGCUAACUACGUG
rnacentral:rRNA from 1 species